GUAACUGGUUGCGGGAAGAUGGUCACGCUCUCCCGGAGACGCUGAGGAGCGAGCUCCCGGGGCUUCUUCACGUGGCCAAACCUGUCACUGGUGAAGUAGUUUAAUGUAGUACGGAAGCUGACACACACAAAGAAUUAUUUAUUUAUUCAUUUGGCUGCGCUGGGUAUUAGUUGCAGUCCUCGGGAUCUAGUUCCCUGACCAGGGAUCGAACCCAGGCCCCCUGCAUUGGGAUUGCGGAGUCUUAACCACUGGACCACCAGGGACGUCUCGGUCACUUUCUUAUAACAGCGCCGAUAUGCAAAUUGAGGUAUUGAAUAUGUGACAGCUCUAUAUCCAUCUGUCUU